CACAAAGUCGACAAGAAGCAGUGCUGAUUCGCCUUCGUAUUUUGUGUUACAAACUUAUGACACACUAUGGAAAUGUACCAUUUCUUUAUAAAUAUUCUGAUAUCCGUCGCAUUUGCGCACGUUACGUUCGGCGCUCCAACAAAAAAUAGUAAUGAAUUUAGUCAAUAUACAUUAUGCGCCACUGAUGAAUGUAUAAACGCUGCUUCCAAGAUUUUAGCCAAUCUUAGUCGUACAAUUGAUUCUUGUGACAAUUUUUAUCAAUUUGUCUGUGGCAAAUACGCACAUAAUAAUCAAGUCAAUGACUCGUUUCCAUUAAUUAAGUCAUUUGCAGAGAUCCAACAAAAAAACAAAAAUUCAUCUCAGAGAAAUCUUAGAAGAACUUCCUAAGCCAGGCGAUACUAUGUCCCUGCUUAAAGCAAAAGUUAUAUUUGCACAAUGCGUAGAUAACGAAAACGGAACAGAUAAGGAAAAUAUAUACAGAAUCUAUACAGAAAUUGAAAAAAAAGAUCCCUAUUUGUGGCUAUUGGGUGUAUCUCGUUCCGAAUGGAAAAAAAGUAAUUUGACGUAGCAAGAUGUAAGCACUACCUUGCUUGAAAAUGGGUUUGAUAAUGGCCUUUUCGAAAUAACAGUGUUACCGGAUAUCAGAAUGUCCAACAGUAACGUUACUCUUAUUGAUGGACCUUUACUCUCUUUAUCACUAAACCACAAGUUUAAGUUUUUUAAUUUCUCAUUUCCCAAAUGGACUGAAUAUCUAAUGAUAUAUGAUAAAUUCGACAUUGCAUUUAUUGCGAAUAAUUUAGCACAAGAGAAUAGUG